UAGAGAGAAUAAAAACACACUUCCAACUAGAAGCGUUUUCGUCCAACAGUAAGUCAACAAUCAUUUUCCCAACAGUUAAAAAAUCCAACUAUUAAAAGAAUAUGAACAUUGUUCUGGGCAACUGAUUAAUUUUGCGAAAUCCCUAAUCAGUGUUAGUGUUUAUGUGCACCCUGAGUUGCGAGUUGCUAUGGAAGGCACUUUGGGCGUGCGCGGUACUGCAAACCCUGGGAAAUAUCUGGGACUUCCGGUGAUUGUUGGAAGAAACAAAAAGCAGGCUUUUCGAUCUAUUAAGGACUGGGUUUUGGAUCAUAUUGGGAGUUAGCUUAAUAGGUGUCUUUCGUAGGGUGACUUCUUUUUAUAAAGAGCUUGAGGCCUUGCUUUGUCGCUAUUGGUGGGGUGAGGCUAACUUACGGAAGGGAUUCAUUGGUGUUCCUUAGAGGGUUCGUGCGAUCUUAAGGAAGUUGGCGGAUUGGGAUUUCGAAGUUUGUCAAAACUUAAUAUUGCUUUGCUUGCUAAACAAGAUUGGCGUUUGUUGAAUAGCUCAGAUUCUUUAGUUGCUCGCGUGCUUAAAGCUAAAUACUACUCAACUACUAAUUUUAUGGGGUCAGAGUUAGGGAAUCAACCUUCUUUCAUGUGGCACAUUAUUUGGGCAGCUAAGGGACUACUGCAAAUGGGCUGUGGAUGGCAAGUGGGGAAUCGCUCUUCCGUUUCCAUUUGGGAUGAUGCAUGGCUCCCGGUGGCAGUUGGAAUCAGGAAUUGCUAAGAGGGUUAUUCUCUGACUAGGAUAUGCGGAAGGUGUUGUCUAUUCCUUUGGCCUUUCACACAUUGGAAGAUUAGUGGAGAUGGUGCCUUGUAGAUGAUGGAAAUUACACAGUUUGGAGUGGGUAUCAACUUCUACUCCGAGGCUUCCCCAACUCGGAUGAUGACAGGUACAAUCAUAUGGGGCAAACUAUUAGGCGAUGUUACAGACAACUUUGGGCUGCGGGUUUUUUACAUAAAUAAUACAAAAAAAUUAAAAUAAUACUAAAACAAUACAACCAUUUUAUUAUGUACCAAAAUAGUACAAACAAUAAAAAAAACCUGACGGAAGUGACAGGACUAUAGUCGAGGGUCUGCCAUAGGCGGCACCAAAGGUGCCAGUGGCAGAGGCGACACCAAAGGUGCCACUACCACAGGCGACACCUGUGCCAUGUUUUCCCGCCUUUUGGGGACCUUAUAAUGGUCCCCAAUUUCACUUUCACUUCAGCUGCACAAAGGAGAAGAAAGAAAAGGAAAUGAGAAGAAGAAGAAGAAGGAAGAGGAGAAGGAGAGGGCGGUGCCGAAAAAAGAAAAGAAAAAGAGAGAAAGAGAAUAGAGAAAGGAAGAGAAGAAAAAAAUAGAAAAAAUAAGGUAUUAUUAUGUUUUUUUAAAAAUGGAUUAUCUUAUUAUUAUGUUUUUUUUAUUUUUUUUUAUUAUUUUUUGUUGUUAGUUUAGUUAUUAUUGUUAGUUAU